rnacentral:rRNA from 1 species
CAGCAGCCUCGGUAAUACGAAGGGUGCAAGCGUUACUCGGAAUUACUGGGCGUAAAGCGUGCGUAGGUGGUGGUUUAAGUCCGUUGUGAAAGCCCUGGGCUCAACCUGGGAAUUGCAGUGGAUACUGGGUCACUAGAGUGUGGUAGAGGAUAGUGGAAUUUCCGGUGUAGCAGUGAAAUGCGUAGAGAUCGGAAGGAACAUCUGUGGCGAAGGCGACUAUCUGGGCCAACACUGACACUGAGGCACGAAAGCGUGGGGAGCAAACAGGAUUAGAGACCCCUGUAGUCCCUGUCUCUUAUAC